AGUAAGGGGAGUAUCACAAAUUUUGAUAAAAUUAAAAUUAAAUUAAACAUAAUUUUCAUACUCACGGGGAGUAUGUGUAAAUCGAUAUGUUGAGUAUGCAAUGAUAGAAAGUAAAGUUGAUAAAAUCUAAAUGCAUAUAUACAAAUAAUUAAAAAUGAAGUGAAUUUGAAAUUUGAAGGAAAGGCAUACUUAAAAGAUUUUAUCAUCAUCAAAAAGGGAGAGAUUGUUGACCCCG
rnacentral:lncRNA from 1 species